UACGUAGGGACCAAGCGUUGUUCGGAUUUACUGGGCGUAAAGGGCGCGUAGGCGGCGUGGUAAGUCAGCUGUGAAAUCUCCGAGCUUAACUCGGAACGGUCAGCUGAUACUGCUGUGCUAGAGUACAGAAAGGGCAAUCGGAAUUCUUGGUGUAGCGGUGAAAUGCGUAGACAUCAAGAGGAACACCUGAGGCGAAGGCGGGUUGCUAGGCUGAUACUGACGCUGAGGCGCGAAAGCUAGGGUAGCAAACGGG
rnacentral:rRNA from 1 species